CAGCCGCCGCGGUAAUACGUAGGUCCCGAGCGUUGUCCGGAUUUAUUGGGCGUAAAGCGAGCGCAGGCGGUUAGAUAAGUCUGAUGUGAAAGCCCCCGGCUCAACCGGGGAGGGUCAUUGGAAACUGGGAAACUUGAGUGCAGAAGAGGAGAGUGGAAUUCCACGUGUAGCGGUGAAAUGCGUAGAGAUGUGGAGGAACACCAGUGGCGAAGGCGACUCUCUGGUCUGUAACUGACGCUGAGGAGCGAAAGCGUGGGGAGCGAACAGGAUUAGAUACCCGAGUAGUCCCUGUCUCUUAUAC
rnacentral:rRNA from 1 species